GGGCGGCGGCGGCAGUCCGGGCACUGAGGUUCGGAAGCGCGCCGAGGAGCCCUCGCUCCGCCAAGCCGCCGGCUUGCGAGCUGCACCGCGCAGGCGCCGCGGAGGGAGGGGCGUGUCCUCUGCGACGUGCGCACGCAGCCAAUCGGCAGCCACGCAGCCGUCUGCCCGAACGCUCGGCCACGCCUCCGUGCGAGCGCCUUCCGCUCAGCGGAAGUGACGGGAAGCUUAAGUCAGGCGCUAGGUAGGGUGAGCGAGAAGGGACAAGUGCGGCGCGGAGGCGAAACUGAGCGCGAGGAGGCGCUGUGGAGGCCGAGGAACAGUCGCUCGGAGGAGAGCCGGGGCCGAGUGUCCCCUCGGGCGACAAGUAGAAGGGGUUCUGCAACCCUGCUCGCCUGCAGAGCCAGGUCCUUAGUCCCCUGGGAGCUCCAGGCGGCCUCGCUGGAGUUAGCGUCUGUGCAUUCUGUCCUAAACCUACAGGUUACUCACGACUUGGUUCACGAUGUUAACUCAUCCACCGUCAUGACUAUGGAAAAAAGAAAGUUACUUCGCCUGGCGAUGGCUCAAGUCUACCUACCGUCUGGAGAAUGCUGGAUGCUUGGCAGUGGUAAACCACUCACCACUACUUGAACUGGGUCUGGACAUCUCUCAGUGACCCUGAAGCAAGAGACUUAAUUAUAAUCCUAAAUUCAUACCUACACUGGCUGAAUUCAACAAGUAACCUAAACCCUCACUCAGUUACUUUGCCCAGGUCGUGGAAAUCACUCUUGUAUAUGUGUACGAAAUAACCAGAUGAUCACUGCAGAGGCCCAGGCACACAGCACAGCUGUUUACUACUGUUGUUGGCUUUUAUGCUUUACGCCACAGUUACCAUCUUGAUGUGACAAAAUACAUCCGAAGCUAGUGGAAACAAAUGGGAAUUUACAGGCUGACACAACAGGGAAGUGGAAGUCAGACUGACUUCAGCUGCGGCUGAAGCAGAUGUGGUCCAGAUCUUACACCUGCUUUUUUUUGUGGGGUUUGUCAAACUGUAAUAUGCUUUUCCUCACUCGGUGGACUUGCCAGCUCCCAGGUCCACUCGUCAUUUAGCAAACCCAGUGUUUACCAGUGAUCAGAAGUGACUGGCCAGGCUUACAAGGACUGUAGAGUGCUGAACAGAGCACACAGGGACCAGGAAAGGACUGCGCUAACCUAGGCGGCUAAAGGGACAGUAGAGGAGGCAAAGCAGAUAAAAACGCAGUUACUGGCCAGGAGGUGGAGGCGAAGAAACCUUUAACCCCCCUACUCAGGAUCUCCGAGUUUGAGGCCAGCCUGGUCUACAGAGCAAGUUCUAGGAUAGCCAGGGCUACACAGAGAAACCCUGUCUUGAAGAAACAACAAAGACCUCAGUGACUGCUCUGUCUCAAAAGCAUAGUAGGUCUAAUCAAGAAUUCAGUUUAACUUUUAAAAAUAAAACCAAACAACUUUAUUUGACAAAAGACACAAA